rnacentral:rRNA from 1 species
UGCAGUCGAGCGGUAGCACAGAGAGCUUGCUCUCGGGUGACGAGCGGCGGACGGGUGAGUAAUGUCUGGGAAACUGCCUGAUGGAGGGGGAUAACUACUGGAAACGGUAGCUAAUACCGCAUAACGUCGCAAGACCAAAGUGGGGGACCUUCGGGCCUCAUGCCAUCAGAUGUGCCCAGAUGGGAUUAGCUAGUAGGUGGGGUAACGGCUCACCUAGGCGACGAUCCCUAGCUGGUCUGAGAGGAUGACCAGCCACACUGGAACUGAGACACGGUCCAGACUCCUACGGGAGGCAGCAGUGGGGAAUAUUGCACAAUGGGCGCAAGCCUGAUGCAGCCAUGCCGCGUGUGUGAAGAAGGCCUUCGGGUUGUAAAGCACUUUCAGCGGGGAGGAAGGCGAUAAGGUUAAUAACCUUGUCGAUUGACGUUACCCGCAGAAGAAGCACCGGCUAACUCCGUGCCAGCAGCCGCGGUAAUACGGAGGGUGCAAGCGUUAAUCGGAAUUACUGGGCGUAAAGCGCACGCAGGCGGUCUGUCAAGUCGGAUGUGAAAUCCCCGGGCUCAACCUGGGAACUGCAUUCGAAACUGGCAGGCUAGAGUCUUGUAGAGGGGGGUAGAAUUCCAGGUGUAGCGGUGAAAUGCGUAGAGAUCUGGAGGAAUACCGGUGGCGAAGGCGGCCCCCUGGACAAAGACUGACGCUCAGGUGCGAAAGCGUGGGGAGCAAACAGGAUUAGAUACCCUGGUAGUCCACGCCGUAAACGAUGUCGAUUUGGAGGUUGUGCCCUUGAGGCGUGGCUUCCGGAGCUAACGCGUUAAAUCGACCGCCUGGGGAGUACGGCCGCAAGGUUAAAACUCAAAUGAAUUGACGGGGGCCCGCACAAGCGGUGGAGCAUGUGGUUUAAUUCGAUGCAACGCGAAGAACCUUACCUGGUCUUGACAUCCACAGAACUUACCAGAGAUGCUUUGGUGCCUUCGGGAACUGUGAGACAGGUGCUGCAUGGCUGUCGUCAGCUCGUGUUGUGAAAUGUUGGGUUAAGUCCCGCAACGAGCGCAACCCUUAUCCUUUGUUGCCAGCGGUUAGGCCGGGAACUCAAAGGAGACUGCCAGUGAUAAACUGGAGGAAGGUGGGGAUGACGUCAAGUCAUCAUGGCCCUUACGACCAGGGCUACACACGUGCUACAAUGGCAUAUACAAAGAGAAGCGACCUCGCGAGAGCAAGCGGACCUCAUAAAGUAUGUCGUAGUCCGGAUUGGAGUCUGCAACUCGACUCCAUGAAGUCGGAAUCGCUAGUAAUCGUAGAUCAGAAUGCUACGGUGAAUACGUUCCCGGGCCUUGUACACACCGCCCGUCACACCAUGGGAGUGGGUUGCAAAAGAAGUAGGUAGCUUAACCUUCGGGAGGGCGCUACC